GUAAAGGCAAAAGAGAGCUUGAUUGCAAGACAUACAGGUCGAGCAAGGAUGAAAAUCGGACUUAGUGAUCCGGUGGUUCUGCGUGGAAGGGCCAUCGCUCAACGGAUAAAAGCUCCCCUGGGGAUAACAGGCUUAUCUCCCCCAAGAGUCCACAUCGACGGGGAGGUUUGGCACCUCGAUGUCGGCUCAUCACAUCCUGGGGCUGUAGUAGGUCCCAAGGGUUGGGCUGUUCGCCCAUUAAA
rnacentral:rRNA from 1 species